GACGAACGCUGGCGGCGUGCCUAAUACAUGCAAGUAGGACGCAGUUGCGAACGGGUGAGUAACGCGUAGGUAACUGCCUAUUAGAGGGGGAUAACUAUUGGAAACGAUAGCUAAUACCGCAUACUAGUAGAUGGACCUGCGUUGUAUUAGCUAGUAGGUAGGGUAAUGGCCUACCUAGGCGACGAUACAUAGCCGACCUUGGAAGGUGAUCCGCCACACUGGGACUGAGGAACGGCCCAGGAUCCUACGGGAGGCAGCAGGAGGGAAUCUUUGGCAAUGGGGGGAAACCUGAACGAGCAACGCCGCGGGAGUGAAGAAGGUUUUCGGAUCUUAAAGCUCUGUUGUUAAGGAAGCGGUACUUAACCAGAAAGGGACGGCUAACUACGUGCCAGCAGCCGCGGUAAUAC
rnacentral:rRNA from 1 species